UUGCAGUUAAAAAGCUCGUAGUUGGAUUUCUGUGGGGACGGGGCGGCCGGCCGCAACUCGCGGUUCGAGCUAGCACUUUCCCUACAUCCUGCCGCGAACCGUGCUACCAUUAGUUUGGUGGCGCCGGGGAUCGGCUCGAUUACUUUGAGAAAAAUAGAGUGUUCAAAGCAGGCCACACGCCUUGAAUAAGUUAGCAUGGAAUAAUAACUAAGGACUUCGGUUCUAUUUUGUUGGUGUUCGGGACUGAAGUAAUGAUUGAUAGGGACAGUUGGGGCGGUCAGUAUUCCAAAGCGAGAGGUGAAAUUCUUAGACCUUCGGAAGAUUAACAGCUGCGAAAGCGUUCCGCAAGGAUGUUCCCUUUGAUCAAGAACGAAAGUUGGGGGAUCGAAAGACGAUCCGAUACCGUCGUAGUCUCAACUAUAUACUAUACCAGCUAGGGAUCGGCCAACGUUAUUUCAUACCGACUUGGUCGGCACCUUAU
rnacentral:rRNA from 1 species